UACGGGGGGAGCAAGCGUUGUUCGGAUUUACUGGGCGUAAAGGGCGCGUAGGCGGUCGUGACAAGUCACUUGUGAAAUCUCCGGGCUUAACUCGGAACGGUCAAGUGAUACUGUCGGACUAGAGUACAGAAGGGGCAACUGGAAUUCUCGGUGUAGCGGUGAAAUGCGCAGAUAUCAGGAGGAACACCGAUGGCGAAGGCAGCUCGCUGGGCCGUAACUGACGCUGAGGAGCGAAAGCAUGGGGAGCGAACAGG
rnacentral:rRNA from 1 species